GGAUCAGUACGCUGGUCGUGCCUUUGGUAUGUACUGGUGUCACUGAUUCCUCCCUUCUGACGAACUAUAAUGCCAUUAAUUUGGUGUUUUAGGGAAUCAGGACUGUUACUUUGAAAAAAUUAGAGUGUUUAAAGCAGGCUCACGCUUGAAUACAUUAGCAUGGAAUAACGGAAUAGGACGUUUGAUUCUAUUUUGUUGGUUUCUAGGAUCGACGUA
rnacentral:rRNA from 1 species